GCUGGGCUUGGUAACGCGAGCCUGUAACUCAAGUGAGGGCUGGAUGGUUGGAUGUUGGGCCUGGUCUUGACGGUUGGGCCAUCUGAGUGCUAAUCUGGCCUGCCCUCUCCAAGUGAGAAGUGAGUUAGGGUCCUCUAGCGUAGGCUUGAGGGCAAUGGCUCCUAAAGUACAGGGCACUGCGCGAGGCUGGCUCCACAGAGCAGCGAACACCUGUCUCUUCUCACAGUGGAAGGAUAACAAGCCAGUUCUUGGGUGGUCCAUCAAAUGCCUGAAGGGCCUCUCAACUAGACAACCAUCU
rnacentral:SRP_RNA from 1 species